CAAAUCUUGAGAUAAUCUUGCUGAAUGAUGAACCUUGUCAGCAUUCAAUAAUGCAACGGGUUUUUUCUGUUUUUUUUUUUUUUUUACACAGUCUGUUUACUAGCUUUUCCUAAUUUCUGUGCAAGAAAAAGACAGUGUGCUUGCAGAAAUCAAGAUAAUGAACACAAGUCUAAACCACAUGGAUUUAUGGAGGACAAAAGCUUUGCUAACUACUUCACAAACAAUUGUUUCUUGACUGUCCUGGGGAGCUAUACAGCCUUCAGUGAGGAACAGGGAACUGAAACUGCUUGUGGAAUUUUUCAACUGGUGAAUACCUGCUGCUGCAGAGAGGAUCUCAAAUGUACACCACUCACAAAUCAGGAUAAAAUCAAACAGGAUUCUGGAGAUGCCGUGCUCUACUAUUCUACAGUGCUUCAUAAAACUAUGUGAGAUGUGCCCAUGCUGAUUCACCUGGUCUGCAGUUAGCAUCUAUCAACAAACUGCUACCUGCACCUUCAUCUGGAGGGAAUCCAGAGCAAGGAAAUCACAAGGAAAUACUUAGAGGUAAGAGUGCUUAGAUUUUUGUCAUUCAUUCUCUCCUCUAGUGAUAAAAUGCGCAGAUGAAUCUGUGCAAUUGUGUGGAC
rnacentral:lncRNA from 1 species